rnacentral:rRNA from 1 species
UGGGGAAUCUUGCACAAUGGGGGAAACCCUGAUGCAGCGACGCCGCGUGAGCGAUGAAGGUUUUCGAAUCGUAAAGCUCUGUCCUAUGGGAAGAUAAUGACGGUACCAUAGGAGGAAGCCCCGGCUAACUACGUGCCAGCAGCCGAGGUAAUACGUAGGGGGCGAGCGUUGUCCGGAAUUACUGGGCGUAAAGGGUUCGCAGGCGGCAUGACAAGUCCGAUGUAAAAGGCGAAAGCUCAACUUUCGUAAGCAUCGGAAACUGUCAAGCUUGAGUGAAGGAGAGGCAAGUGGAAUUCCUAGUGUAGCGGUGGAAUGCGUAGAUAUUAGGAGGAAUACCGGUGGCGAAGGCGACUUGCUGGACUUCAACUGACACUGAGGAACGAAAGCGUGGGUAGCAAACAGG